rnacentral:lncRNA from 1 species
UCCGGUCGUCGGGUACCAUUGCUAGAUGGUCACUUCGAUUAGUACAGGAAUUGGUUCCUGUGCUACCGGCUUAGGUUCGAACCUGCAGGGUCACACACAUUAGAGGUUCCUUUCUGAUCUGAUGGCUGAUUAUGAGUCUUAUGUGUCUGAGACUCUAUGAUUGAGAAUUAGGAUUCUCUGAUCAUGAGUUCCACACAUUUUGGAUAUCGAGGUCAAAAUUUUGAAUUUCAAAUUUUGAAUUUGAAAUUUGAACUCUUCGAUCAAGAUUUCAUAUUGAUGGACUUUGAUACCCAAUUGCCCAUCGGAUUUGGACUCAAUAAUUAUGAGAGGUUUUAUUAGUGAUUUGAUCGCUAAUUAACUCAAUUUGAUUGAGUAAUUAUUUUUGGAUCAAGUCCAAUUGAAUUGGAUUCA